rnacentral:rRNA from 1 species
UACGUAGGGUGCGAGCGUUAAUCGGAAUUACUGGACGUAAAGCGUGCGCAGGCGGUUUUGUAAGCCAGAUGUGAAAUCCCCGGGCUCAACCUGGGAAUGGCAUUUGGGACUGCAAGGCUGGAGUGCGGCAGAGGAGACUGGAAUUCCUGGUGUAGCAGUGAAAUGCGUAGAUAUCAGGAGGAAUACCGAUGGCGAAGGCAGGUCUCUGGGCUGACACUGACGCUCAUGCACGAAAGCGUGGGGAGCAAACAGG